UUCUUGUUACUUUCUUCAUUGUGAUUUCCUCGCAUUCAUAUUUGAGAUGAAUUAUAUUUAUGUCUUUCAGACCCAGACAAAUGAAGAAGCAAAAUAUUUGAUUUUCUGUGGUUUAUUUAUUUGGUUCAUAUAUCCAGCAGCUUGAGGAGAAAACUGAAGUGGCUAAAACUCAAUGUCAUCCAAACAAAAAGUGUGGUCUUCUCUCCUAGAUUUUCCCUCUACCAUGUUUGGCUUGGCAUUCCGCCUUGG
rnacentral:lncRNA from 1 species